rnacentral:misc_RNA from 1 species
UCUUCAAGAGUUACCACACCCUUACGACCCACUUUACUCAUGGCUUCAGCAAUCAUGUUCCCCACUUCAUAGUUGUUCCCAGCACUAACAGCUGCUACAUCUGCAAGCUCACUGUCUUCAACCUCUUUUGACAUUGACUUAAGUUCAUUCACUAGAGCCUUUGUGGUCUUCUCAAUACCCCUAGUAAUCAGAACAGGGUUUGCACCAGCAGCUACAACCUUGACACCUUC